CUCUGCAGCCAACCCUAACUCUUCGGCCGCAUUCGAACCACCACCACCGACCGCGCGGAGAGGAUCUCGCCCGUCCCUCGUUCUCCGAUCCCGCCAGGACAGGAGGGUCUCGCCCGUCCCUCGUUCUCCGAUCUCAUCAGGACAGGAGGAUCUCGCCCGUCCCGUCCCUCUUCCCCGAUCUGACCAGGAACGAGGCAUGGGAGGCCGCGGAGGAGGUCGCGCAGGUCGCGGGGUGGCCGGGGCCACGGACCUGGCGGGAGGGGCAACGGCAACGGCCCAGAUGUAGCUGUAGCUGCAGGCCAGGGAGGGCCUGUGGCAGCCCCUGUGAUCACCUGGUUUUGCCCGAGAUGCAGAGAUGUGCGGCGUGACAAUCAGGCACGUCACAAGGCGCUUCACGACUCCAUCGAUAGACAGGAGAGAGAGCACAUCAUUCGCCGGCAGCAGGCCAGGAACGCCUACAACCAAGCUCAUGGCACCAAGAAGAAGCGAAAUCGCCAGAGGUCACUGAUGGAGAUGUUUCAGCAAUAGCAAUUGCGGAAUAACUUGCGGAAGCCUCAGCUGGAAAAUUAUAUUCCGUAAUUUUUUCUUUUGCGAAUAAAUACCUUUCCAGAAUCUCCCUGCAGCAGUUUUAGCAAGACACCAUUAUUUCCUCAUAUGUAGUGAGACAAUAUGAAAUCAAGCGGUGCAAGGUAGUAUUCGUCCCUUGUUUCUCGAGACUAGUCCUAUGUCUGUAAGAUGUCCAUUGACUGUUUCUCGAGACUAGUCCUAUGUCAUGUAAGAUGUCCAUUGACUGUUGGUACGCGAGAAACAAAACCAGAUAUUUGUAACAAAUUGCUUUCUUAGUAGGCAGAGAAAUCCUGCCAGUUAGCAGAGGAAA